GACCAAAGGGGGCGAGCGUAAGCAGCUCUCACCGAAGGAGGAGCCUGCGUCCGAUUAGCUAGUUGGUGGGGUAAUGGCCUACCAAGGCGACGAUCGGUAGCCGGCCUGAGAGGGCGAUCGGCCACACUGGAACUGAGACACGGUCCAGACUCCUACGGGAGGCAGCAGUGGGGAAUAUUGCGCAAUGGGCGAAAGCCUGACGCAGCGACGCCGCGUGGGUGAUGAAGGCCUUCGGGUCGUAAAGCCCUGUCUGGUGGAACGAAACGCCUGGCGGCCAAUACCCGCUGGGUUUGACGGUACCACCGAAGGAAGCCCCGGCUAACUACGUGCCAGCAGCCGCGGUAAGACGUAGGGGGCGAGCGUUGUUCGGAUUUACUGGGCGUAAAGCGCGCGUAGGCGGCCAGAUAAGUCGGGUGUGAAAGCCCUCGGCUCAACCGAGGUUCCGCAUCCGAUACUGCUUGGCUGGAGUCUAGGAGAGGAGAGCGGAAUUCCCAGUGUAGCGGUGAAAUGCGUAGAUAUUGGGAGGAACACCCGUGGCGAAGGCGGCUCUCUGGACUAGUACUGACGCUGAGGCGCGAAAGCUAGGGGAGCGAACGGGAUUAGAUACCCCGGUAGUCCUAGCCGUAAACGAUGGGCACUAGGUGUGGGAGGUAUUGACCCCUUCCGCGCCGAAGCUAACGCAUUAAGUGCCCCGCCUGGGGAGUACGGCCGCAAGGCUAAAACUCAAAGGAAUUGACGGGGGCCCGCACAAGCGGUGGAGCAUGUGGUUCAAUUCGACGCAACGCGAAGAACCUUACCAGGGCUUGACAUCCCACGAACCUGCCUGAAAGGGCGGGGUGCCCGCAAGGGAGCGCGGAGA
rnacentral:rRNA from 1 species